rnacentral:rRNA from 1 species
GACGAACGCUGGCGGCGUGCUUAACGCAUGCAAGUCGAGCGGUAAGGCCCUUUCGGGGGUACGACGAGCGGCGAACGGGUGAGUAACACGUGGGUGACCUGCCCUCAGCUCUGGGAUAAGCCUGGGAAACCGGGUCUAAUACCGGAUAUGACUCCAUGACGCAUGUUGUGGGGUGGAAAGCCUUGUGCGGCUGAGGAUGGGCCCGCGGCCUAUCAGCUUGUUGGUGGGGUGAUGGCCUACCAAGGCGACGACGGGUAGCCGGCCUGAGAGGGCGACCGGCCACACUGGGACUGAGACACGGCCCAGACUCCUACGGGAGGCAGCAGUGGGGAAUCUUGCGCAAUGGGCGAAAGCCUGACGCAGCGACGCCGCGUGAGGGAUGACGGCC